CCCGGACACCUGUUGCACCGCGGCGCCGCGGCGGCAGGCGUCGGCUCCGCCGGCGACGCUGGCCGAGCUGGCGAGUGCGGUCCCGCGUGGCCAGCCGGUGGCGACCGUCCGAGGGCGCUCCGCGGGCAGAGGUCGCCGGGCUUCCAACUGCCGUCUAGUGCCGUCCGUUCUGCGCCGACCCGCUAUUGGUAGCUCUGCUUAGUUACCCCAGUUCCAAGCGACGCGCUUGAAACAGCCUGGAAACCACGCACUGUGAUACGUAACGCGCUAUCGGUAACUGUGUGAUUUCUAAAAGUGUGCGGGCGACGCAGCGGAACACAGGCGAACCAGCGACUGGCUGCUGAGCCCGUCGCCUGGGCAGCCACUCGAGAAGACUGUAAACGUGACGUCACUGAGUACUGCAUGGAGUAUAGCAGUACAAAAAUGUAGACGAAGGAGGUGGUGGGGGCGGGCGAUGCAGCGUCAGACAGAGAGUAGAGUGUUCAAAACGUUAUAGGGGAUGAUGAGUGUAACAGCUACGAAAGGAUGAAAAGACAGGAAAAGAUGGACGAUAGUAGGAAACCAGUAGAAAUGCUGAAGAAUAAAAAAAUAAACAGUGUAGUUAGAUUCUCAAUAUACUUUGUUUCUAUGUGCCUUGUUUAUGAGUCAAGUAUGAUAUGAAUUAGUGGUAUUUGGUGCACAAUGUACCAGUUAUUGAUUCUUGCAUCUUUUAUUUAUAUCGAGAACACAUGAUUCAUUUACAAGAAGUUGCUAAGAACGUGUCCUAUGAGGUGCCUACUGUAAUAUGUUCCACAAAAAUAAAAUAAAUAAAAUAA